rnacentral:tRNA from 1 species
AGUUGAUGAACUUGAUAUAAGUAUAUGUUUUGAAAACAUAAUAAAGGAGUUAAACCUUCUAUUAACUU